GACGAACGCUGGCGGCGUGCCUAAUACAUGCAAGUCGAACGCUUCUUUUUCAUCGAACUUCGGUUCACCGAAAGAGAGGAGUGGCGAACGGGUGAGUAACACGUGGGUAACCUGCCCAUUAGAGGGGGAUAACACUUGGAAACAGGUGCUAAUACCGCAUAACGCUGUUUUUCGCAUGAAAGACAACUGAAAGGCGCUUUUGCGUCACUAAUGGAUGGACCCGCGGUGCAUUAG
rnacentral:rRNA from 1 species